rnacentral:rRNA from 3 species
CAAAUGACUCUCGGCAACGGAUAUCUCGGCUCACGCAUCGAUGAAGAACGUAGCAAAAUGCGAUACUUGGUGUGAAUUGCAGAAUCCCGUGAACCAUCGAGUUUUUGAACGCAAGUUGCGCUCGAAGCCUUUUGGCUGAGGGCACGUCUGCCUGGGCGUCACAC